AUUUAUAUAGUUUAAAAAAAACAUUAUAUUUUCAAUAUAAAAUUAAUUAAUUAAUUUAUAAAUU
rnacentral:tRNA from 1 species